ACUCGACAUUACUGUACAAACUAGAAGGUAAAAGAUGACAUAAAAAUUACAACAGACUCAUAAAAGAAAUCUCCUUAAGCAAACUCCUGAAUGAGCGACUCUGACUGGAUGGUCCUAGGGCGUCUGUCAUGCCCAAACUCCGGUAAGUAGAUCCACACAUGUAUGAGAAAAUUAAGACCAAAUAAAGUUAAAGACCUAGAACAUUAUGUGAGACAAUAACACUUCCUGUUGGACAACAUGCAAGACAUGAUUGAGGCUAUUUUUGCAAAAUGGCUUAUGCAGCCUAAAGAUGGCUAGAAGUGCAACAUUUGGCUAAGACCCCGGAAAGCCAAGAACCUAAGAUUUACUAGGAAGACCGAACCCUAUGUGAGUUGCCUACAUAUCACGCCCUGAAAGACGAGAAUCAGGUAUGCGUAGUUCGGGCAGAUUGGAUACAGGCGAGAAAAAAACAACCGAUUUAGAGAAAAUAUAUUUUUUUGUCUUUUUUUUUUUGAAAAAUGAUGAAACAUAUAAACUCUUUUUAGAUUUUCCUUUCCCCUUUUUGAUUCUCGGAAAAUGAUGAAAAAAUGCAAAAUCUUUUUUUUUGAAUUUUUUAUUUUCUUUUUCUUAACAAAAAUGUGAAAGAAAAUAUAACUGGGCCCUACUUGAUUUAUUUUCACACUUCACCCUCUUUUUUUUUCAUUUGUCCUCAACUAUCAUUGAUUCGCCAAAUGACCCUUUUACCCUUGAAGAUUUUAACAUGUAGCACAUAGGAUGCAUCAGGAUGAUCUUUUAUUUUUGGGUACACCUGUCCUAGAUGGACUCAACCCCUGUGUUGAGUCCCCAAAGUCAAAUGCACAUGAUGCAAACAAACGUGCCUACUAGGGAUCCGUCAUGAGGUUAUAUUAUUCUAAGUUUAACCUUGGGGUUGUGUUAUUGAUCUGGCUUACCCGAGCGGACUACUCAAGUCGAAGAGGGGGCAACAUACCAGGAGCACGAAAGUCUAUCCGGCCUUGUUGCUGGCCCAGCCUCGUUCUAUUUGGCAUGACUUCUACAGAAAAAGCGGGCCACGCGAACGUGUGCGCCAUUUUUAGAAGACUUAGAGGGGUGGCGUAAGAAGACAGUUAUAUACAAUUCAAAUAAUAUCAAAGCGGUAAAUAGACAUCAAUUAGCACAAAAGGUUCAGAAAAUACAGUAAUAUCAACAAUAAAUAAAGCCAAGUAAAAAUCAUAUUAAUAAGCUCAAAUUCUUGAACCCUGAACCAAAAGUUCUGGGUUCUUCUCCCCAGCAGAGUCGCCAGAGCUGUCACAUCUCCUUUUACUACCCCGGAAGGGGUAUAUAGGAGUUUUUUAAUUAAAGUGACAAUAAUCGAAACGGUUAUUUAUUUAAAUUCAGAGUCUCCACUUGGGAUAAUUUAUGGUGUCCGAAUUCACCGGUUUAAAAUCCGGAAUCGAGGAGAUUUGACUUUGUAUUAAUGUCUGUGAAACACAGAAAUUCGGGUAAGGAAUUCUGUUAACCCGGGAGAAGGUGUUAGGCACUCCCGAGUUCCGUGGUUCUAGCACGGUCGCUUUGAUCAUACUUGGUUUAAUCAAAUUGUCUAAUUACUUAUUUUAGAACCUAUGUGCAUUUGCCUUUUUUAAUUAAGAAAUUAUCUUGAAACGGGUCACGCGUACAUGUACCCAUUUGUUUGGCACGUCAAAAUCAUGUCAUGCGAACAUGUCCACAAUUAAUAAUGCUUUAUUAUUAUUAAGAAUAUUUGAUCGAAGUUGUGCGAACGCAUACUCCAAUUAUGUUUUUAGAAUCGUAAUCGUGUCAUGCGAACGUGUACACAAUCACGGUGAUACAUUAAACGUGCCUAGAGCAAACUACGAAUAUUCAUUUUAGAAACCGUAAUCAUGUCACACGAACAUGUCCAUAAUCACGAUAAUAAAUUCAAAACGCGCCUAAAGGUUCGCCUACCCAGGUGUGGUCGGUCUAAACAUACAUUCUAACAACGCGAUUAGACAAAACCAUAAGAAAAAUAACUCAAUUUCUUUUAACUUCAAAUUAAUCCCCUCGACCAGAACCUUUCAAUUUUUAUAAACCCAAGCCUAACUCACUGUGUGCUUCUAAUUGUAAGCAAGAUUGUCACAACAAACCAUUUACAUUUAAAACCAACUUAAACCCAGAUUCUUUUCCUAAUUAACCAACACAAUAGCUUAGGUUGAGCCAUGAUUUUUAUCAAGCAAGUUCAAGAAAAUAGUGACAUAAGUAUCAACUAGACAUGAAGGCUAACUUAAAAAAACAACAGCAUAUUAUAUCCCUAUAGCGCACCAAAUGCCUAAAUCAGUUUCAACUCAAGUCGUUUCCUUCACCAUUUCAUAUACUUAAUAAGUUACGAAACUUUUAGUUAUAUAAGUCAAGGUAGCGUUGAAAUAUUAAUUCAUCCUAUUCACUAUCACGAAUCAAGGCACUUAACCAAAUAAUGAAACUAAGCCAGCAAAUGCAAACAAACCAACGUAACAGAAUACCAAAAAUCCUUCACCAAACUAUGAAUAACGAAAUGAAAUAACAUAUAGGUUCGAGAAAUGUACCUCUACUGCAGCACACUCUUUGAAAUAUUGAUUAAGGAGAGAACACUCAACAAAUCUUUAAACAAGCAGAUGAACCUGCAACCGGAACCUCAAUUUGAAUCGACAUACUAAACCUGAAAACCUCGCCAAAACUCCAUGGACCUCAAAUUCGCCGGAAACUUGACAACGAACAGGCUGAAAACGAGCUAUUUGUGGCUGCUUUUUACUGGUUAUUGGGGUCGAUUUCGAGCAAAUCUCAUGGUUGUUGCUGGAUGUCGAUUUGAUGUGCUUUGUAUGUGUUUGUUGCUCGUUUUUUUUUGUUUAUGUCCGCCGGAGAUGGUGAUGUUGAGGAGAUCUGGCCGGCGUUGGUUGUCACAGGUUUUGUUAGAGAGGAAGGUCGUUGGAGGAGAUCGCUGGUUGGUGUCCGUUUGGCCGUUUCUGGUGUUUGAUUUGUGAAGACGAAGAGGAACAGUGGUAGGUAUUUUGUUGAAGAAGAAAGUAGAAUGGAUGGGGUCCCUUUUUUGUGUUAUCAGCGGCUGAUUUUUUAGGCGUUCUUGAUUUUGUUUCAGAAGCUGGAAAAU
rnacentral:lncRNA from 1 species